rnacentral:tRNA from 1 species
GAGGGUACAGCUCAGUGGUAGAGUGCAUGUUUAGCAUGCACGAGGUCCUGGGUUCAAUCCCCAGUACCUCCA